rnacentral:rRNA from 1 species
UACGUAGGGUGCAAGCGUUGUCCGGAAUUAUUGGGCGUAAAGAGCUCGUAGGCGGUCUGUUGCGUCGGCUGUGAAAACCCGGGGCUCAACCCCGGGCCUGCAGCCGAUACGGGCAGACUAGAGUUCGGCAGGGGAGACUGGAAUUCCUGGUGUAGCGGUGAAAUGCGCAGAUAUCAGGAGGAACACCGAUGGCGAAGGCAGGUCUCUGGGACGUUACUGACGCUGAGACGCGAAAGCGUGGGGAGCAAACAGG